GUCCUUGUAGUGCAAUUGAUAGCUCGUUGGACUUCUAAUCCAAAGGUUGUGGGUGCGAAUCCCACCUGGUAUG